rnacentral:rRNA from 1 species
AUGGUCAAGGACUUGGACUAUCCAGAAAUGGCAAAGAUGGAUUUCUGCCAGGUAAUUGUCGAAAGUAUUAAGGAAGGAGGCAAGAUAUGGCAGAAGCACAUGUUGUUGCCUCAAGGAGAAAAUAACAAAAAGCAUCUCAAUGGUUUGGCACAUGGACCAGUAAUAAUGUACCUCGACUGCCUGCUGCUGCCGACCGACACAAAACAAAUGCGCAAGAUUGCCAAGACAAUGGACAAGACAUCGUUACCGCGAGCAAACCACCUAAAAGAGAGUGACCUAAGGAAAAUAGCUAGAGCAGACAUGAAAACAGACGGAAAAGCACGACCAAAUGACUAUGAAUUUGGCAAGAUGCAGACAUGGAAAGGAACAACAGAGAGGAUCUUCUAUGCCAACACAGCAACACCUUCGUAUUCAAUACAGAUGAUACCAGCACAACAACAGGAGCACCAGCAAACGACUAAGCUACUACCACCUCCAACCAAGCGACAGGACGAAGCACACGUCAGCACAAGUGGAAGCAAGGAACCAGUCACAGGCACCAGCAUAGGAUCAUAUGAAAUAUUUGGAAGGACGGAAGAAAUGUUGAAACAAGUACUUGACGAAACAAAACAGAUACCUGGAAUAACGACCAGGGCUGGACACCAAUGCAGUGAACAAGAGAAGGAAUUAGAUGAAAGAAUGAAGAAGACAGUGGUGCAACAAACAACGGCCGUGAUUGAUUCUCUCAAACGACUUAGAGAAUUUUAG